GACGAAGGGGGCUAGCGUUGUUCGGAAUUACUGGGCGUAAAGCGCGUGUAGGCGGUUGCCCAAGUCGGGUGUGAAAGCCUUGAGCUCAACUCAAGAAAUGCACUCGGUACUGGGUGACUAGAGGACCGGAGAGGAUAGUGGAAUUCCCAGUGUAGUGGUGAAAUACGUAGAGAUUGGGAAGAACACCAGUGGCGAAGGCGGCUAUCUGGACGGUUUCUUGACGCUGAGGCGCGAAAGCUAGGGGAGCAAACGGG
rnacentral:rRNA from 1 species